rnacentral:misc_RNA from 1 species
GAUGAAGAACGUAUCGAAAUGCGAUAAGUAGUGUGAAUUGCAGAAUUCAGUGAAUCAUCGAAUCUUUGAACGCACAUUGCGCCCCAUGGUAUUCCAUGGGGCAUGCCUGUUCGAGCGUCAUUUGUACCCUCAAGCUUUGCUUGGUGUUGGGUGUUUGUCCCGCGUUGCGCGUGGACUCGCCUUAAAGCGAUUGGUAGCCGGCAUAUUGGCCUUGGAGCGCAGCACAUUUUGCGCUUCUAGUCAUGAAUGUUGGCGUCCAUUAAGCCUAUACAUUUGCUCUUGACCUCGGAUCAGGUAGGGAUACCCGCUGAACUUAAGCAUAUCAAUAAGCGGAGGA